rnacentral:rRNA from 1 species
UAACUAAUCGAAAGGUUGGCUAAUACCGCAUACGCCCUCAGGGGGAAAGCUAGGGACCUUCGGGCCUGGCGUUAAUGGAGCGGCCGAUAUCUGAUUAGCUAGUUGGUGGGGUAAAGGCCCACCAAGGCUUCGAUCAGUAGCUGGUCUGAGAGGACGACCAGCCACACUGGAACUGAGACACGGUCCAGACUCCCUACGGGAGCCAGCAGUGGGGAAUUUUGGACAAUGGCGAAAGCCUGAUCCAGCCAUUCCGCGUGAUUGAAGAAGGCCCUUCCGGUUUGUAAAGCUCUUUCGCAAGGGAAGAAAGAUUAUCCUCUAACAUAGGAUGAUUAUGACGGUACCUUGAUAAGAAGCACCGGCUAACUACGUGCCAGCAGCCGCGGUAAUACGUAGGGUGCGAGCGUUAAUCGGAAUUACUGGGCGUAAAGCGUGCGCAGGCUGUUUUGUAAGUCAGAUGUGAAAUCCCUGAGCUCAACUUAGGAACUGCGUUUGAAACUACAAGACUAGAAUAUGUCAGAGGGGGGUAGAAUUCCACGUGUAGCAGUGAAAUGCGUAGAGAUGUGGAGGAAUACCAAUGGCGAAGGCAGCCCCCUGGGAUAAUAUUGACGCUCAUGC